AAGGAGCUCAAAUAAGGUCAAGAGCAAAAUGGAUAGAAGAAGGUGAAAAAAAUACUGCUUUUUUGUUGAAUUUAGAAAAAUCAAGACAAAUAAAUAAACUAUAAAAGAAUUGUAUGACAAUAAAGGCAAUACUAUAACAGACCAAACAGAUAUUUUAAAAGAGGAAGUAAAAUAUUAUGAAAAACUAUAUAAAUCAUCAAAUCCAGAUAAAUUACAUACUAAAGAGUAUAUUCAAAAUACUAAAAUAGAAAAAAAAACUCUCAGAUAAAGAUAGUAAAAGUUUAGAAGGGCUAGUGACAUCAGAAGAAAUUACAGAAGCAGUGUUUAAAAUGAAACUUAAUAAAGCACCAGGUUUAGAUGGACUUAAUGUAGAAUUCUAUAGAAAAUUUUGGCCCCAAAUUCAAAAGAUAC
rnacentral:lncRNA from 1 species